rnacentral:rRNA from 1 species
UACGGAGGGGGCGAGCGUUAUUCGGAAUUAUUGGGCGUAAAGGGCGCGUAGGCGGCUGUACAAGUCAAAGGUGAAAUCCCUCGGCUCAACUGAGGAACUGCCUUUGAAACUGUACGGCUUGAGGCCGGGAGGGGGUAGCGGAAUCCCAGUGUAGCGGUGAAAUGCGCAGAUAUCGGGAGGAACACCGGUGGCGAAGGCGGUUCUCUGGGCCUUACCUGACGCUGAGGAGCGAAAGCGUGGGGGAGCGAACAGG